GUUUUUUUGUUUGUUAUGGUUGCACCCGAUUAAAGAGCCGAACGGCUAACAGGGCUAUACCAAAAUAAAUAAACUGAAACUGAAAACUGGAUCUCCACGUCUCGCACACGGGAAGCUUCAGUGGCGAAUGGCGGCCGUUGCCAUGGGCGUGUCACGUGGGCGCGCGCGCCGUUGCGAGGCAACCGCGAGACGCCGGAAGCCGAGUGGCGGCCACUUUCUCCCUCGACACCGCGGUCUGCUUCUUCAUUCACGCUUCUUUUGUUUACUACAUUAAUUCUCCACAACGACGCAGAUAAUUGUUUAGAGUUAUAAUAUUGCCGACAAGACUCCGCGCCUGUGUUUGGCUAUAACUGUGAUGGAGCGCUCGCUAUCCGAUGACGUCCGGCAAAUGUACAAGCUGAAGCAAGCGGCAGUGGAGUUCUACCGUGCCCACGGGGUCCCACAGAACUUGGAAGAGGCCCUCAAUAGCCUCUUUCACCAGCAGCCUGAAGACGUCUAUGGGCAGCUGGUGAACCACUUCUCUGUGCUGUGCAAGCCUGCGGUAGUGAAGCGGAUAGAGGCCUGGCAGGCACUGGACACUGUGGGCUGUCCCGCCGUUGCAGUGCAGCUCAUCUGCACCACGAGGAACAUGGAGCAGCGCGUGUGCUCGCUGGUGAUGGCCAGUGAAGGUGAACCACCAGACACCAUGGCACUGGGGCUGAAGGAUCAGGAGUACAGCAAGAAACAAGAAUCUUCCCAGUUGGCCGUUCAGUGGAUCAACCACUCUCUGUCUGGUUUGCUUAUGGGUCAGCAGCCAUACAACCAGUCAGAGCUUGACUGCUUGCUGAGGGAGUUCCUAAAGGAGAAACUGUCUGAAGUGCAUCAACAACAGGAGCAGGAGGAAGUGACAAGAACAGAGUUCUCGGAGCCCGUGGUGCAACCACUUGCUGUGACAGUGAACAGUGACAAAAAACCCAUCAAGGGCAAGAAGAGCGCUGCUCUGGAAAAGCCACUCUUUCACAAAGAGAUGCGAGCCCCACUACUUCCCGGAAGUGUGGCCAUCAGUGCGACAUCUAUGGCCAUCGCCAAGGCCGCAGCCCGACUUAAAAGCUGCCCACUUUACAAGCACAUUGCUUCCCUCUCCCACACAGAGGUACAACAAAAAUUGAAAAUUCCAGUCACUAUGGUAACGGUGCUGUGCUGUGGAAAAGCAUCACCAGGAAAGCUAAAUCUUCUGAAAGAAGUGAUGGUUCUGCCAAGACCAGGACUCACAGCUUCACAGGGUCUCAACAUUAUUUCUGAAAUCCAGCAUCAGAUCAUGAAACACGCAGAAGUGGUUCCCAAAACAGGGACGAUGCACGUGGUCGGUGCUGUGGGGGCCCCGCUGAUUGGAUGCGACAAACUGGAGCGGCCUCUGGAGAUCAUUGAGGAGGUGGCAAGGAGCCUGGGUCUCACGGCAGGCGUCGACUUCCACUUGGCCCUCAACUGUGCCGCUCACGAAGUCAUGGACUAUGAGAAGGGCCGCUAUGAGGUUGCCAGUGGGUCAUUCAAAGCCACAACCGACAUGGUGGAGCUGUACGUACAGCUGCUGGGCCAGCACCCAGCUGUCGUAGCGCUCAUCGACCCCCUGUGCCCUGAGGACCAUGAGCAGUGGCGUAGGCUCAGCUCAGCUGUUGGUGAAAAGUGUUUCAUUUUCAAUGAAAAUUUCUGUCGCCUGGCUGAACUGGAAAAUUUGGAACACAUAACAGGAACACUGAAGGCCACUGGUGUGAUUAUCAAACACACCAACCAAGUGACCGUUUCUGACUUGCUGCAGGCUUCGAGAUACUUGCAAGGCAAAGGGUUGUGUGUUGCUUUUGGUGCGUGUUCUGGAGAUACACCAGAUGGUAGUUUGGUGGACAUGGUAAGAUUGUGGAGGAAUGUUAACAGAAAUAAGGAUUCCAAGGACUUAAAAUUGGUUCAGUGUUUGUGUGUUUUACAUCGGGUUCUUACUACAGAGGGUUUUAUCACUACUCCCUGCGUUAUGAGAGGUGCAUUUCUUAAAAAAAUUAACUCUUGUCAAUGCUGUUGUCUAUCCCACUUAUGUAAUGCAACGAUUUUUUUCCAACAUCAGGAUUACUCUUUCUGUAGCACUCAACAUUGUUUUCCCUUUGAAAAUUACUUGGAUGCAGAGAAUAUUCCCUCGCUGUGUGCAUUUGUUGGCAUUUCCCACUUCUGCCAGCUGAUCUUGCAAUGAAUCACAUCUUCAAUGCUUUGUUGUCAUACUUUUCCACUUGGCCUGAAUCCUCCAUGACCCUUUCCUGAUAGCAAUCGUAUGUAUUGCUUAUUACGUGUUUUUUUUAAAUCAGGCACAGUGGGAUCAGCAGUAAAGUAUGUAUGUAUAUUGAACUUCUUUCACACCAUAUGUAGCCACCCGUGCUAACUGGAGGUGCGGGGCAAAGAUUACAAACUAAACACAAAAAGCAGUUCUCAAGAAUUUACUUUUCAAUCUAGCUUUAAAAGUGCAUAGCUCCAGUGGCUUCCUCAUAUCGGAAGGAAGAGUGUUCCAGACGGCCGCAGAAGCGCAUCUGAACGUGCGCAACGCGGUGACCGUCUUUCUUUGAUGGCCAGCCAGAAGCUGCUUGACCCACUCUCUCUUAGCUGAGCCUAAGAGAGAGUGGGUCAAGUGGGAGCUGGAGAAUGAUUACCUGAGUUAGAGGUACCGAGUGACGUUUGAUGCGUAUCGGCGUUUGUUGUACGAAGGCCCUUGGCAUGGGGGCCUCUUUCUUGAUCCUUGGAGGUGUUCUCCGUGGCGAGAGGGUGGCGCGCUACAAUCACCUGGUGAAGAUUGAGUGGGAGCUGCUGAAAGGAGACAUGCUUGAAAUGAGUCAACCGUACACCUU